rnacentral:rRNA from 1 species
CACGCCACUGACGCUCAUGCACGAAAGCGUGGGUAUCGAACAGGAUUAGAUACCCUGGUAGUCCACGCGGUAAACGAUGAUAACUAGUUAUUCGCCCCGACUGGGGGGUGAGUGACCGAGCGAAAGCGUUAAGUUAUCCACCUGGGGAGUACGCCGGCAACGGUGAAACUCAAAGGAAUUGACGGGGGCCCGCACAAGCGGAGGAACAUGUGGUUUAAUUCGAUGAUACGCGAGGAACCUUACCCGGGCUCAAACGCAUCGUGCUACACCCUGAAAGGGGUGGUUCUUCGGACGCGAUGCGAGGUGCUGCAUGGUUGUCGUCAGCUCGUGCCGUGAGGUGUCGGCUUAAGUGCCAUAACGAGCGCAACCCCCAUCUUCAGUUGCCCCCGGGUGAAGCCGGGCACUCUGGAGAGACUGCCGGCGCAAGCUGUGAGGAAGGCGGGGAUGACGUCAAAUCAGCACGGCCCUUACGUCCGGGGCGACACACGUGUUACAAUGGCGGGGCUACAGAGGGGAGCCAGGCGGCGACGCCGAGCUGAUCCCGAAAACCCGUCUCAGUUCGGAUCGGAGUCUGCAACCCGACUCCGUGAAGCUGGAUCG